UUAUAAUUUACGGAUCUAAAAGAAUGUUUUCCUCCGCCAAACCUCUCGUGAAUUUCUUGACUCGACAUUUUCUUACACUCUCGCACAAGCGCUAGUAGUCUAGCCGAUUUAAUUCAAUUGUCAUUUUAUGCCAAUCUCAUAAUUGGUCGAUGGGCUACCGCAUAGUAUCUAUAAUCGUGUACGUAACUAAGGUAAAAGUUAAAAAGAACAACUGUCCACCACUCUCUUAUUAUACAGACACUCUAAAUUGGAAAUCUUGGCGGAAUAUAUUAGUUAUUAUAAUAAAUAGCUGGCAAUAAUAAUACUACGUAGACUAGAU